rnacentral:tRNA from 1 species
ACCUGGCUGGCUCAGCAGGUAGAGCAUGUGACUCUUGAUCUCAGGGUCAUGAGUUCAAGCCCCAGGUCAGGUG